rnacentral:lncRNA from 1 species
GAGGAGAGCGAGUCGGGUGCCACUGGGCUGCAGAUCCCACCAACAAACACGAAGGUUUUAGCAUCAAGACUCUGCUGACCUUAUUAUGAACUGAAUUGAGAAGUAUUCCUUAUACUUUUUGGAAAAAAGUUUGCAUCAUUGUUAUUUCUUCCACAAAUGGAUGAGAGAAUUCACCUGGGCCUAGAGCUUUCUCUGUCACAGUGGGACCACCAUUGCUUUGCUUGGACUCUAGUUCACUCUUACACAGUCAGAAAAUUGUCCCCAGGCAGGGAGACAGAGACAACAGGAGGGGAUCUGUACAGGAGGAAGGCCUGGUGUGCGAUAGGAGCCCAAGAAAGGUAAGAGAGUGCCUAAGCAGUUUUUAUGACCUUAAGCAGCAAGAGAGGAGUGCUUCAGUUACUCUGGCAGUGUAACAAAUUACUGCAAAACUUAAUAGCUUAAAACAACAAUAAUCAUGUAUUAUCUCUCCGGGUUUAUGUGGGUCAGGAAUUUAUAUAGAGGCACAGCAGGAAUGGCUUAUCUCUGCUCCACAAUAUCUGAGGCCUUAGUCAGAAGACUCAAAGGCUGGGAGCUGAAAACAUCUUAAUGCUCAUUUACUCACAUGUCUGGCAGCUGAUGCUGGCUUUCAACUGGGGCUUUAAUUCCUCUCUACAUGAGCCUUUUCAUGUGGUCUGAACUUCCUCGCAAUAUGAUGGCUGGAUUCUGAGGUCCACCAUUCAGAUGAGAGAGAUGGAAAGAGCCAGCCAGAAGCUGUGUUGCUUUCUAACCUAGAAAGUCAUGCAGCAAGGCUGGGUGCAGUGGCGCA